rnacentral:lncRNA from 1 species
UACUUUUUUUUUUUCUUCUUUCUUGACUGACAGAGUCUUAAUUAGUUACGAUUAGCUAUUUUGUGGACUGGGUAUUGGUUGUACAGCCCCAAAAUAUGUAUUCAACAAAUACAGGAGUAAAAGGAGAAGAAAGGCUGCACCUGCUGUGCUUAUCUUGGAGAAAAGCUGCUCUUGUGUUUAGAAGAAAAACUUAGAACCUGGUGACUGAAGAUUGAUACUAGAAAACAGUGGUGGAACAUAUUGGAUGGAAUCUACAACUGGAGUGCCUACAACAAAAAAAUAUUCCCUUUUCUAUUAAGCACAGGAAUAUAUUUCAGCCAGAAAAAAGCAGCAACAGGAUUCCUUUCUUUCCAAUUCAAAUGUGACUUCCAUCCAUAUUUUGCACAGGCAGUUCUGCCCAGGGAUCCCUCAGAAUGAAUGAGCUGAAACUGAAAGCUCCUGUACCCUGACUAAUACCUUUAAGAAAAAGAGUGGUGCUUUAAAACAUGGUAACUCAAGC